UACAGAGGGGGCAAGCGUUAUUCGGAAUUAUUGGGCGUAAAGGGCGCGUAGGCGGCCAUUCAAGUGACGGGUGAAAGCCCUCGGCUUAACCGAGGAACUGCCUGUCAGACUGGAUGGCUUGAGACCGGGAGAGGUGCGUGGAAUUCCCAGUGUAGCGGUGAAAUGCGUAGAUAUUGGGAGGAACACCAGUGGCGAAGGCGGCUCACUGGACCGGAACUGACGCUGAGGCGCGAAAGCGUGGGGAGCAAACAGG
rnacentral:rRNA from 1 species